CACCCCAGAAGCCACUCCAUGUGCCCCCUCACAGUCUCGACCCCCUUGAAGUUAAUUUUUAAUCAUAUAAAUGACAAAAGGAUUAGGUAAACAAUAGUGCAAAUAAUUUCAAAGAGAAUGUUUACAUAUAUCAGACUAAUUUUUAGCACUCUAAUUUAAAAAUUCUAUUUGCAGUAGAAAUUUAUUAUAAUGUUGGAAUAAUCACUACUCUCUAUAGUUUACUGUGUGCUCUUUAUAGAUAGAUGAUAGAUAGAUGAUGGAUAGAUAACAGACAUGUAUAUACUCUUAAUAAUAGUUUUAAUAUAGUCAUGCACCACAUAACGACAUUUCGGUCAACUCCAAACCACAUGUGCUAUCAUGAUCCCAAAAGAUUAGUACCAUCUAGCCUAGGUGUGCAGUAGGCUAUCCCAACUAGGCUUGAGUAAGUGCAUGCUAUGAUGUUCGUGCAAUGACGAAAUUGCCUAACAAUGCAUUUCUCAGAACAUGUCCCUGUAAAGCAAUGCAUGACUGUGUAUCUUCACUACCGCCCUGAAAGGUGUUGAUUUAGCAAAUGAGGAAGUCAAAGAUCAAAGAUAAAGAAAUUUGCUCAAGGGCCAAAGCUAGAAUUGAAAUCAGGUAAAUCUAACACCCCUUUCCAGUAUAUCCUGCUAUGAUAAUUCUAAGUGGCUCUUAUUUGUUCAUUAAAACAGGUUUGCCACAAUUUAUGCAGGUAGUUCUGAUGCUGUGUGUUAUUGAAAGUAAGAAACUCCAUUGUUUGUUAAAUUAUGUAAUACAAAUAUUUCACUCCUGAGAAUGGUCUCUGUUCUCAAUUCAUCCUAGUAAUCCUUCAUUUUAUUUUUAGCAUAAAUUAUAUAGACUGGCUCAAAAUGAAUAUAUAACGAUAACGACUCUUAUGGUUAUGCUUUCUGUCAGACACUACGCAGAGCAGUUAACAUUGGAGAUUUCAUUUAACUCUGAAAAUAGUUCUCUAUAGUCCCUUUUAUAGAUGAGGGCACAGAGCGCUGCUGGUAAGAAAAAGAGCUGAGAUGUAAGCCCAGGUCUUUCUCUGGCCACACCUCACAGUGCUAGCCCCUCCAACACGUGCCCACGGAACACACCUGCUGACUUCCGCGCUCCCUCAGCCGCCAGGGGCACCUGAGCUGCAGGAGUCUUUUUUUUUUCUAUCUUGGAUAUUCUUGCGUCACUGAACUGAAACUGUAGCAAAAACAGAUACUAGAUGAAGCAAAUGAACGAACUCCCAAUCCUACAUGUGUUCCUAAGGCUCUGUCUUUUGGCUUCCUUUCUCUGAUUACAACGUGUCAGGAUAAGCGCUUUGAAGGAAAAGCUAGACUUCAUCCAAUCGUCAAUAGACAGCCCUACUGGCUGCAGUUUCCAUGACGGAAAAAUGAUACACAGGAGAAGAGAGAAAGAUGAUCUAGAGCCUUUUGAUCGGCCAAAAUUACAAGUUGUAAUAGAGUUCAAAAGGAAAAAGAUGAUUUGGACCAUGAAGUGACUUCCCUCCAUUCAGAAUUGCUUCAAGCUAAAUUUACUCUCAAACAGCUUGAAAAAGCAAACAUCAAGCUUCAGUCAAAACUGUCAGCUGGCAGAACAACUUACAGGAGGCAGAAGAGGAACAAGAAGAGAGGUGG